GACGAACGCUGGCGGCGUGCCUAACACAUGCAAGUCGAACGGAAGUUAGAGCUUCGGUUUUAACUUAGUGGCGAACGGGUGAGUAACGCGUGAGUAACCUGCCUCUGAGAGGGGAAUAACAUUCUGAAAAGAAUGCUAAUACCGCAUAACAUAUAUUUAUCGCAUGGUAGAUAUAUCAAAAGGAUUUUAUCGCUUAGAGAUGGACUCGCGUCCGAUUAGUUAGUUGGUGAGGUAACGGCUCACCAAGACUGCGAUCGGUAGCCGGACUGAGAGGUUGAACGGCCACAUUGGGACUGAGACACGGCCCAGACUCCUACGGGAGGCAGCAGUGGGGGAUAUUGCGCAAUGGGGGAAACCCUGACGCAGCAACGCCGCGUGAAGGAUGAAGGUCUUCGGAUUGUAAACUUCUUUUAUUAAGGACGAAGAAAGUGACGGUACUUAAUG
rnacentral:rRNA from 1 species